GUGAUCCUGAGCAUUGCAGACAGCCGAAGCAAGGAGCUGUUGGCAAGCUACUGCCUUCCUGUCUCCUACCUGCAGUUGUUCCACCAUUACCACCUCGAGUUGAUACAGCCACACUCCAGUAUCCCAUCUGGCGUUCGAUUAUAUGUCACCGUCGUUCGAAAGGGCAGCGUUAUUCCGCGACAGGAAGGCUUCGCUUUCACCGGAUUCGAGGUUCUGCUUCGAGCUUUGGAGCACCCAUUGCAGGACCCUUCAGGCCCACUCCUAGCAGUCGCCAGG